rnacentral:rRNA from 1 species
CGACCUCAGAUCAGGCGAGACUACCCGCUGAAUUUAAGCAUAUUAAUAGGCGGAGGAAAAGAAACUAACGAGGAUUCCCCAAGUAGCGGCGAGCGAACAGGGAGAAGCCCAGCACGGAAUCCCGUGCGGCGACGCACAGGGAGAUGUCGUGUGUGGGAGGUUCCACUUUGCCGGGAGUCAGCAGCGAGUCCAAGUCUCCCUUGAACGGGGCCACAGCCCGCAGAGGGUGCCAGGCCCGUAGAGACCGCGGCUGCUCUCGGGAGGAACUCUCCUCAGAGUCGUGUUCCUUGAGAGUGGAGCACCAAGAGGGUGGUAAACUCCAUCUAAGGCUAAAUAUGACCACGAGACCGAUAGCGAACAAGUACCGUGAGGGAAAGUUGAAAAGAACUUUGAAGAGAGAGUUCAACAGUACGUGAAACCGUUCAGGGGUAAACGGGAGAGAUCCGAAAGGUCGAAAGGGGGAGACUCAAUCCCGUCCGCGAGUCUGGUGCCGUUCUCGGUCCCACGGAUGCUGCCGGCCGCCGGUCGCGUCGCAAGGCGCGAUCCGGGUCGGAGUCGGUGGCACCGGGGCUGGAGGCCCAGCUGCGGCGAGGUGCACUUCUCCCCCGAGUAGGACGUCGCGACCCGUUGGGCACGUCCGGCCUAAGGCCCGGGAUGAGGCCGAGGAGGCUGCCGCGCAAUCGCGCGGGUCAACGGUCUCCCGGACCCUGGAUGUCCUGGCCGGCGCCCGACGGCAUGCUUCGAGGAGAAGGCCCGCUCCCUCGCAGAGCGAGCGUCCGGCCUGGCGGACAAGCUCGACGCAGGGCACGCGGUGCCGUGGCUUCCGCCACGUCCCCGGCCCCCGUUGGCUGUUGGUCCCCGGAGUCCUCGGACGGUGGCCGUCUCCCGUCUGCGGCGCUUCUGCUUCGGAUGCUUUCCCGACCCGUCUUGAAACACGGACCAAGGAGUCUAACAUG